GUUCUUGCUUCAACAGCACAUAUACUAAAAUUGGAACAAUACAGGGAAGAUUAGCAUGGCCCCUGCACAAGUAUGAUAUGCCAAUUAGUGAAGCGUUCAUAUUUAUA
rnacentral:snRNA from 2 species